UGACCUCCUCCUUUUAUCUCAUUUUACAAUUACAUUCAGUUCGCAAUCCGUCCCUUUGCGCCACCUGGCGGUAGUUUCGCGAAUGAAUUUAACACGCGGCUGACUUGCAAUUAGUACCCAUUUUGGUUGUCUACCAUCUGUAGACGCGCGAAUGAGGCGAAUUCGCGUCUACCACGCCGCGCUAAACGUCUCAUUCGUGCAGCGAGACCUCCAGACGCCUUAAACGCAUCUUUACAUUGACUUAACAUUGAAAUCAUUCACGCCAGACGCUCUAUUCACGUUUGGUGUGAACACAGCAUAAGGCUGCGGUACUCUCGGUUGGUUGUGCAUCUUUUUCUUCCACACUUUUUUGUUCCACUCAACCUUCUGUUAACAUACUUGGAUACAGAACUCUGUGAACACCCAGCUUCUUUGGCAAUGAAUGUUUGUGGCUUACCCUCCUUGUGAAGGGUGUCAAUGAUUGUCUGAGACCAUUCUGAAGGCUCAGGAAACCUUUGCAGGUGUUUUGAGUUGAUUAGCUGAUUGGCAUGUCACCAUAUUCUAAUUUGUUGAGAUAGUAAAUUGGUGGGUUUUUGUUAAAUGUGAACCAAAAUCAUCACAAUUAAAAGAACCAAAGACUUAAACUACUUCAGUCUGUGUGCAUUGAAUUUAUUUAAUACACGAGUUUCACAAUUUGAGUUGAAUUACUGAAAUAAAUGAACUUUUCCUUGACAUUCUAAUUUAUUGAGAAGGAUCUGUACAUGUUUAUGUUCCCGAUGCCUGGAUAGAUUUAUCUGCAGAGCUGACUGGAGAGGGAGGAUGGACAGGUGAAGAAUGUGCUGUGGAGCUGACUGGAGAGGGAGGAUGGACAGGUGAAGAAUGUGCUGUGGAGCUGACUGGAGAGGGAGGAUGGACAGGUGGAUUAGGGGCGGUGGAGCUGACUGGAGAGGGAGGAUGGACAGGUGGAUUAGGGGCUGUGGAGCUGACUGGAGAGGGAGGAUGGACAGGUGGAGAAGGUGCUGUGGAGCUGACUGGAGACGGAGGAUGGACAGGUGAAGAAGGUGCUGUGGAGCUGAUUAGGGAGGGAGGAUGGACAGGUGAAGAAGGUCCUGUGGAGCUGACUGGAGAGGGAGGAUGGACAGGUGAAGAAGAUGCUGUGAAGCUGACUGGAGAGGGACGAUGGACAGGUGGAUUAGGUUUACAAAAAUCAAAAAUCUUCGGCUCCAUACCUUCAUGGUACUCCAAAAGUUAUUAG
rnacentral:lncRNA from 12 species